rnacentral:rRNA from 1 species
AUAUCAAUAAGCGGGGAAAAGAAACUAACAAGGAUUCCCCUAGUAACUGCGAGUGAAGCGGGAAAAGCUCAAAUUUAAAAUCUGGCGGUCUCUGGCCGUCCGAGUUGUAAUCUAGAGAAGUGUUAUCCGCGCUGGACCGUGUACAAGUCUCCUGGAAUGGAGCGUCAUAGAGGGUGAGAAUCCCGUCUUUGACACGGACUGCCAGGGCUUUGUGAUGCGCUCUCAAAGAGUCGAGUUGUUUGGGAAUGCAGCUCAAAAUGGGUGGUAAAUUCCAUCUAAAGCUAAAUAUUGGCGAGAGACCGAUAGCGAACAAGUACCGUGAGGGAAAGAUGAAAAGAACUUUGGAAAGAGAGUUAAACAGUACGUGAAAUUGCUGAAAGGGAAACGCUUGAAGUCAGUCGCGUUGGCCGGGGAUCAACCUUGCUUUUGCUGGGCGUACUUCCCGGUUGACGGGUCAGCAUCAAUUUUGACCGUUGGAUAAAGUUCAGGGGAAUGUGGCAUCUUCGGAUGUGUUAUAGCCCUUGGUCGCAUACAACGGUUGGGAUUGAGGAACUCAGCACGCCGCAAGGCCGGGUACUUGUACCACGUUCGUGCUUAGGAUGCUGGCAUAAUGGCUUUAAUCGACCCGUCUUGAAACACGGACCAAGGAGUCUAACAUGCCUGCGAGUGUUUGGGUGGAAAACUCGGACGCGUAAUGAAAGUGAAAGUUGAGAUCCCUGUCGUGGGGAGCAUCGACGCCCGGACCAGACCUUUUGUGACGGAUCCGCGGUAGAGCAUGUAUGUUGGGACCCGAAAGAUGGUGAACUAUGCCUGAAUAGGGUGAAGCCAGAGGAAACUCUGGUGGAGGCUCGUAGCGAUUCUGACGUGCAAAUCGAUCGUCAAAUUUGGGUAUAGGGGCGAAAGACUAAUCGAAUCCAUUCUAGUAGCU